rnacentral:rRNA from 1 species
CCUACGGGUGGCAGCAGUCGAGAAUCAUUCACAAUGGGGGAAACCCUGAUGGUGCGACGCCGCGUGGGGGAAUGAAGGUCUUCGGAUUGUAAACCCCUGUCAUGUGGGAGCAAAUUAAAAAGAUAGUACCACAAGAGGAAGAGACGGCUAACUCUGUGCCAGCAGCCGCGGUAAUACAGAGGUCUCAAGCGUUGUUCGGAAUCACUGGGCGUAAAGCGUGCGUAGGCUGUUUCGUAAGUCGUGUGUGAAAGUCGCGGACUCAACCCGCGGACGGCACAUGAUACUGCGAGACUAGAGUAAUGGAGGGGGAACCGGAAUUCUCGGUGUAGCAGUGAAAUGCGUAGAUAUCGAGAGGAACACUCGUGGCGAAGGCGGGUUCCUGGACAUUAACUGACGCUGAGGCACGAAGGCCAGGGGAGCGAAAGGGAUUAGAUACCCUGGUAGUC